AAAUAGAUACCCGGGUAGUCCACGCCGUAAACGAUGAGUGCUAAGUGUUAGAGGGUUUCCGCCCUUUAGUGCUGCAGCUAACGCAUUAAGCACUCCGCCUGGGGAGUACGGUCGCAAGACUGAAACUCAAAGGAAUUGACGGGGGCCCGCACAAGCGGUGGAGCAUGUGGUUUAAUUCGAAGCAACGCGAAGAACCUUACCAGGUCUUGACAUCCUCUGACAACUCUAGAGAUAGAGCGUUCCCCUUCGGGGGACAGAGUGACAGGUGGUGCAUGGUUGUCGUCAGCUCGUGUCGUGAGAUGUUGGGUUAAGUCCCGCAACGAGCGCAACCCUUGAUCUUAGUUGCCAGCAUUUAGUUGGGCACUCUAAGGUGACUGCCGGUGACAAACCGGAGGAAGGUGAGGAUGACGUCAAAUCAUCAUGCCCCUUAUGACCUGGGCUACACACGUGCUACAAUGGAUGGUACAAAGGGCUGCAAGACCGCGAGGUCAAGCCAAUCCCAUAAAACCAUUCUCAGUUCGGAUUGUAGGCCG
rnacentral:rRNA from 1 species